GCUUCCUAUCAAGACCUGCUUGUGGUCUGUGGACUCACUGUGGACCCUGUGAGCCCCAUGUUUUCACACCUGCCAGUUAGAAACUUUUAAUUCAUGACAGAUGUACUUUUUUUGCCAUUGUGCAGCACUGGGUUUUCCAACAGCAUGUCUCACAGUGUCAAGCCACAGACACCGAGGCAUGAGCUCUGUCUUCUUGAUCACACUCAGCCAACAAAGAGAUGAUGUUUUCCAAAGGGAACAUAACUCCUCUUUAAUGAUAGUUUCUCUAAACAGGGGCUGUCCAAGGCUGACCAUGUGCUUGUUAUUCCCAGCGUAACUUUUAAAAAAAAGCAUUGGUCUUACAGUGAGCAACAUGUGAUCUUCAGGCAGAGCUACGCCCAAAGUUAAUCUUUAAUGUAUUAUUCUUUGUUUCAAUUCCACUGUCCAGAGUUCAACCCCUUUGCUCCAUAUAGUUAAGAUGUGAGGAUAUUCCCUUCCCAACAACAGUUACGUACUUCUCUUCUGAAGGUAUGGGAUGUAUAACGCUUUGCCCUCCUGCAUGAUUGAAAUCCUAAGUUUAAUUUCUCCGCCACAGAGGAAAAACAGCUAUCUCAUAGCAUUAUUCACCUUCCUUCACCAAAGCAGCUACCAGCAAAAUAUCCCUCGAAAUAUUGGGUCCCCAAGGGCAAGGGGUCAAGCUGGCCUGCAGAUCACAUGGAUGGUUCCCCAAACCUGUUGUCCAGUGGGUUACUCAGAAUGAACAGAGCCUUUCUUCUGACACUGCAGUACACCAGGACAGCAAGCAACUCUUCAGUGUGCUGAGUCGAGUCACAGCUACAGGAAAGGAAAUGGGAGAAGUCACCCGCCAAAUCCUCAACACCUUGGUGCAGACAAAGGAGGAAACUACCAUUCACCUCUCAAGCGCUGUUUUUCCACAAACAUCUCCCUGGUUCUCUGCCUUCUGGAUAUUAUUUACCUUAUUUCUCCUCUCCAUUGCUGCCAGUGCUUUUAUGGUCUGUAAAGCAAAACAGAAGAUGUCUAAGAAAAAAGCUGCAGAAGAAGAGUAUUUAAACAUCCAAGGUAAGGCAGGUCUUUCUGCAAAGAGCUGGCUUUGAUGCCCACUCACAGGCCCCUUUCCUCCUGCAGCUGGAGAGAGGCUUCCUUGCACUUGCAGAGGAAAUCCAGGCUACUCAUCCUCUGAGCUCAGCUGGAGAGUUUAUAAAGAUGUGAAAAAAGACUCACUCCUAAGAAGCCAUUUGGCUCACUAACCUGCAGCAAAGGAAGCAGUGCCAGUUCCUUCCACUGGAGAUGUCCCUACAAAGUGGCUUCCCUUCCUUUCUCCCCAGGAUAUGCCUUGAGUCUGUGCAUCCCAACAACUCCCCUCAGCAAUGGGUCUGCUGUGCACGCUCUUUCUCUCCCAGAUCCCCUCUGCUCUCAUUCAUUCCUAUAUUACAUUUAGCAGGAGCCUGACCCCCUGCAAAUACACGGAGGGAACCUGCAACUUCCCUCAUUACUGUGUGACUCAAGAGACAAUAUAGAAGUCAGGUGAGAGCUCACAAAUCCAUUAGCAGUCUAUCUAUGACUCCACACCAUACAGAAGGACAGAGCUC
ensembl:lncRNA